GGGGAAUUUUGGACAAUGGGGGCAACCCUGAUCCAGCCAUGCCGCGUGCGGGAAGAAGGCCUUCGGGUUGUAAACCGCUUUUAGUCGGGAAGAAAAGGCGUCGUCUAAUAAACGGCGUUCUUGACGGUACCGGCGGAAUAAGCACCGGCUAACUACGUGCCAGCAGCCGCGGUAAUACGUAGGGUGCGAGCGUUAAUCGGAAUUACUGGGCGUAAAGCGUGCGCAGGCGGUUCGUUAAGUUCGAUGUGAAAGCCCCGGGCUCAACCUGGGAACUGCAUUGGAAACUGGCGAGCUUGAGUGUGGCAGAGGGGGGUGGAAUUCCGCGUGUAGCAGUGAAAUGCGUAGAGAUGCGGAGGAACACCGAUGGCGAAGGCAGCCCCCUGGGCCAACACUGACGCUCAGGCACGAAAGCGUGGGGAGCAAAC
rnacentral:rRNA from 1 species